AAAGAAUCGGCUUCUCGCUGAAGUAAGUUUAAUUGGGUUUUCUCUCGUGCUUUUGUCUUUUUCUUAAUGGGCCAUGAUUUUAUUAUUUACUUGAAUUUUGUGGUUGAUUAGGGGAUAAUGACAUUCUCUGGGUUUUAGUUCCACUUUUUAGGAGAGUGAAGGUAGGAUUCAAAAUUAAUAUUGGGAAGAAAAAAAAUCAAUUCAAUGAAUGGAGAACAAGAAAUAAUGUGAUUCAGGGAAAUUGGAAAAGUUGUUGGAUUUAGGGUUUUAUGGAUAGGGAUUUUCAUUUUAUCAUCCUUACUGUGAUUUUGUAACAUUUCAUUUAGUCUUGAAUCACAUUAAGUAAAUUCAAGGUGUUUAUGGGCAGCAAAAACCUUAAUGUUUUCAUUUCCUUUGUUUGUUUGCUCAGGAUGUAUGGUGUGUAUGAGCAGUUAAGAUUGCUAAAAUUCUUAGAAAUAUUGUUUUUGUUUUUUUGGUGAUUUGUUUCUGCAGAAUGAAUGGCGUGCUA
rnacentral:misc_RNA from 1 species